CCUACGGGUGGCAGCAGUGAGGAAUAUUGGUCAAUGGCCGGAAGGCUGAACCAGCCAAGUCGCGUGAAGGAUGAAGGUUCUAUGGGUUGUAAACCUCUUUUAUCAAGGAAUAAAGUGCGGGACGUGUCCCGUUUUGUAUGUACCUUAUGAAUAAGGAUCGGCUAACUCCGUGCCAGCAGCCGCGGUAAUACGGAGGAUCCGAGCGUUAUCCGGAUUUAUUGGGUGUAAAGGGUGCGUAGGCGGUUGUUUAAGUCAGUUGUGAAAGUGUGUGGAUCAACCCUACAAUUGCCAUUGAAACUGGGAUGUUUGAGGAUGUUUGAGGUAGGUGGAAUGUGGGGUGUAGCGGUGAAAUGCUUAGAUAUCACGAAGAACCCCGAUUGCGAAGGCAGCUUACUAAGCUACCACUGACGUUGAUGCUCGAAAGUGUGGGGAUCAAACAGGAUUAGAUACCCGGGUAGUC
rnacentral:rRNA from 1 species